GAUGAACGCUGGCGGCGUGCCUAAUACAUGCAAGUCGAGCGAACAGACGAGGAGCUUGCUCCUCUGACGUUAGCGGCGGACGGGUGAGUAACACGUGGAUAACCUACCUAUAAGACUGGGAUAACUUCGGGAAACCGGAGCUAAUACCGGAUAAUAUAUUGAACCGCAUGGUUCAAUAGUGAAAGACGGUUUUGCUGUCACUUAUAGAUGGAUCCGCGCCGCAUUAGCUAGUUGGUAAGGUAACGGCUUACCAAGGCAACGAUGCGUAGCCGACCUGAAAGGGUGAUCGGCGACACUGGAACUGAGACACGGUCCAGACUCCUACGGGAGGCAGCAGUAGGGAAUCUUCCGCAAUGGGCGAAAGCCUGACGGAGCAACGCCGCGUGAGUGAUGAAGGUCUUCGGAUCGUAAAACUCUGUUAUUAGGGAAGAACAAAUGUGUAAGUAACUAUGCACGUCGUGACGGUACCUAAUCAGAAAGCCACGGCUAACUACGUG
rnacentral:rRNA from 1 species